CGGGUGAGUAACGCGUGAGUAACCUGCCUCAUACAACGGGAUACCUGAGGGAAACUUCAGUUAAUACGGUAUAAGACCACACUGCCGCAUGGCAGAGGGGUAAAAGGAGCAGUCCGGUAUGAGAUGGACUCGCGUCACAUUAGCUAGUUGGUGAGGUAACGGCCCACCAAGGCGACGAUGCGUAGCCGACCUGAGAGGGUGAUCGGCCACAUUGGGACUGAGAUACGGCCCAGACUCCUACGGAAGGCAGCAG
rnacentral:rRNA from 1 species